rnacentral:rRNA from 1 species
AUGGUUAAGUGACUAAGCGUACACGGUGGAUGCCUUGGCAGUCAGAGGCGAUGAAGGACGUACUAACUUGCGAUAAGCCCAGAUAAGACAGUAAGAGUCAUUUGAGUCUGGGAUUUCCGAAUGGGGAAACCCACUUACAUAAGUAAGUAUUGCUGAGUGAAUACAUAGCUCAGUGAAGCGAACUCGGGGAACUGAAACAUCUAAGUACCCGAAGGAAGAGAAAUCAACCGAGAUUCCGAAAGUAGCGGCGAGCGAAAUUGGAUUAGCCCUUAAGCUUUUUAUGCGUCAGGUGAAGCUUCUGGAAAGGAGCGCGAUACAGGGUGAUAGCCCCGUAACCGACAGCGCAUUUACAGUGAAAUCGAGUAAGGCGGGACACGUGAUAUCCUGUCUGAAUAUGGGGGGACCAUCCUCCAAGGCUAAAUACUACUGACUGACCGAUAGUGAACCAGUACCGUGAGGGAAAGGCGAAAAGAACCCCUGUGAGGGGAGUGAAAUAGAACCUGAAACCGUGUACGUACAAGCAGUAGGAGCCCUUCGGGGUGACUGCGUACCUUUUGUAUAAUGGGUCAGCGACUUAUAUUCAGUGGCAAGGUUAACCAUCUAGGGGAGCCGUAGGGAAACCGAGUCUUAACUGGGCGCUCAGUCUCUGGAUAUAGACCCGAAACCAGGUGAUCUAGCCAUGGGCAGGUUGAAGGUUGAGUAACAUCAACUGGAGGACCGAACCGACUAAUGUUGAAAAAUUAGCGGAUGACUUGUGGCUAGGGGUGAAAGGCCAAUCAAACCUGGAGAUAGCUGGUUCUCCCCGAAAGCUAUUUAGGUAGCGCCUCGGACGAAUACUACUGGGGGUAGAGCACUGUUAAGGCUAGGGGGUCAUCCCGACUUACCAACCCUUUGCAAACUCCGAAUACCAGUAAGUACUAUCCGGGAGACACACGGCGGGUGCUAACGUCCGUCGUGGAGAGGGAAACAACCCAGACCGCCAGCUAAGGUCCCAAAGUAUUGCUAAGUGGGAAACGAUGUGGGAAGGCUCAGACAGCCAGGAUGUUGGCUUAGAAGCAGCCAUCAUUUAAAGAAAGCGUAAUAGCUCACUGGUCGAGUCGGCCUGCGCGGAAGAUGUAACGGGGCUAAGCAAUACACCGAAGCUGCGGCUGCAUACUUUGUAUGCGGGGUAGGGGAGCGUUCUGUAAGCCGUUGAAGGUGGUUCGUAAGGGCUGCUGGAGGUAUCAGAAGUGCGAAUGCUGACAUGAGUAACGAUAAAGGGAGUGAAAAACUCCCUCGCCGGAAGACCAAGGGUUCCUGUCCAACGUUAAUCGGGGCAGGGUAAGUCGACCCCUAAGGCGAGGCUGAAAAGCGUAGUCGAUGGGAAACGGGUUAAUAUUCCCGUACUUCUUACAAUUGCGAUGGGGGGACGGAGAAGGCUAGGUGGGCCUGGCGACGGUUGUCCAGGUUCAAGUGCGUAGGCUUGAGAGUUAGGUAAAUCCGGCUCUCUCUAAGGCUGAGACACGAUGUC